GACGAACGCUGGCGGCGUGCUUAACACAUGCAAGUCGAACGGAAAGGCCCUGCUUUUGUGGGGUGCUCGAGUGGCGAACGGGUGAGUAACACGUGAGUAACCUGCCCUUGACUUUGGGAUAACUUCAGGAAACUGGGGCUAAUACCGGAUAGGAGCUCCUGCUGCAUGGUGGGGGUUGGAAAGUUUCGGCGGUUGGGGAUGGACUCGCGGCUUAUCAGCUUGUUGGUGGGGUAGUGGCUUACCAAGGCUUUGACGGGUAGCCGGCCUGAGAGGGUGACCGGCCACAUUGGGACUGAGAUACGGCCCAGACUCCUACGGGAGGCAGCAGUGGGGAAUAUUGCACAAUGGGCGGAAGCCUGAUGCAGCAACGCCGCGUGCGGGAUGACGGCCUUCGGGUUGUAAACCGCUUUCGCCUGUGACGAAGCGUGAGCGACGGUAAUGGGUAAAGAAGCACCGGCCAACUACGUG
rnacentral:rRNA from 1 species